UCGCCAGUCCACAGGCGCGGCAAACUGCUCCCAUGGCUACGAGGCAGGAGUGACCUUCAAUCCAGCGUUUGUGUUUGGGAAACUUAUUUGGCUGAUUUGAUUGUACCCUCGCAGCUGGUGUUCACGCGCUCAAGAGAUGGGUUCGUUAUCUUAUGUGCAUGUAUACUGCCUGGCUUUUCUAUGCGCAAGAAUGUAACCACUAAGAAGUGUUGUAAACAAAGCAAGGAGAGAAAUAAAAACCCCAGGAAAAGUUUUCCUGGGAGGCUUUUUGCAAGAGGCUUGUAAAACUCUCUGGCUACCAACAAACCUGGCGUUCUGUUUCCUGCGUCGUCACCACAGCUGGUGACCCCGACGUGAUGCCCCUCUACUCACCGGCUGGAUACGCCGAGCGCGCCCGCGGCUGUUUGCCGCCCCUUAUUCAUCAUCAGAGAAAACGGAUGCCAGCUGAACAGCAUUCAAUGUACCAUGCAUUUACUGGCACAAUAGGGAUUAUUUUUGUGUUUUAUGGCAAAAAUUGUUAAAAAUUUGCAUACCAACAGUCUUUGGAAGCAAAGACAUGGAAGGUUAACCCACUCUCCAUAUUGUCCAUGGGAUCCUUCUGGCUACCUCAGAUUUCUAGCCAGAGGGCUGGGGAGGGAGGAAAGCAAUUAGACACCUGAGGUUGUACUGAGUGCACUCCUCAAAAGUGGGUGUGCUUGUCCCGGUUUGUUGCUCCAAAGCUCUGUAAUAAAGUUAUUUUACUGGAAGAGUGAAGGUUUCCUUUGUAGGUUAAAAGAAGCCGAGAAAGGGAGAAGAGGAAAAAGCACAGAAUGAGUUAACUGAGAGGAAGAUACAGCUUGCAGGCUCAUCCAAGGCCACAGCCAAAACUUGGCUGACCCCCAAGACAAGGGGGGGGCUUAAAUGUGCCCGAGCAACUAUGAGAUCUGCAAAACACUGCCAGGCAUUAAUGAAAUGUGUUAGGUUUCUUUUCUCACAGGUAGAAAAGUGCUACCCAAAGAUCCUAGCACCCCUGCCAUUUAUUAAAACCAGGAGACUGAGUCUAUGUAAAGUCCAUCAAUGAAAGACUGCUUUGGCUCCAUGCUGGAAAGGCCCUUUCCAAGUCCUGUUAACCACCAACACCGCUGUGAAGUGCCAAGGACUGACUGCCUGGACCCAUGCUUUUCACUGCAAAAAGACCCCUCCACCUCGGGAGGACCUUUUGACUAAUGAUAAGCCUAUUUCUCCUUCUAGCCCUGCUGUGCCUUCUGGACAGCAGGAAAAAGGAAAAAAAGACAAGGUGAAGUGCUAGUAACCUCUCCCUUGUCCACUGACAGACCUACUGUUGCUUUGAAUUUUUCUAGAAGAAGCAAAACCAUUACAGGGUGAUGUGCUAGUAACCUCUCCCCUGUAUGAUGCUAAACCACACUGUUUCAGGAAAAGAGAAGAAGGAACACUUGCUUCCUUGAAACCACAAAGUCCAGGAAUUCCUGACUACAAGAGACAUUAAGAACUGACCCUGGUGAAGAAACAAAAAAUUAUAACCUGGAAAAAAAGAAACUUGUGGAACCCAUGCUUGAGAACGUGGUAUUGAUUGGAUUUUGGGGUUUAUUCUACAGGCUGCGCCCUGUGUUUUGGAUAAGUCCUUCAGUAUGUAUUGCCUUCCCUAAUUGGAUUUUAAAUGAUAAGUACCAAAGGCACCUUGUUGCCAUUGCCCCUGCUAUCUUCUUUAUUACACUAUUACCCCUGUAACACAUCCAAAUACAGACAAUGACCCAGAAGUUGCUAACAGAGAUGGUAUUGAAUAUCACUAAGGCUGGGAAGGCAUUGCAGUGGGAUCUAGCAUGUUCAGGCUUGGCCCACUGCCCUUACAGACACAUCAGGAGUACCAUCUGAUCUGUGGCCAUGGAGACAUACUUAGAGACUUUCUGGGUAAAAGUGCAAACGUUCUCAAUGCUCCUUCCAAGCAUAUGGACCGGUUGAGGGGGUGUGGCCUUCCACAUACCGAAUCCUGCCGGGUCCAUGGGGAGGAUGCAUGUGGGAUUGAGUAAUUCACCAAGACAUCUGGGAAAUUAAACUACCUGGUAUGCCCAGUUAAUUUUAGUCAGUGCUCCUGGGAUUACACCUGACAGGACACUUACUUCUUCAAGUUAAUGACAGCUGUGUGUAUGUUAAUGACACCAUAUUACAAGAAAUGCAAGGUCUGUUAAGUACUUGCCUUGUUCCUGUCUGUAAACCACCCAGCAACAUCUGGGAUGUGAGACAGUGAAAGAAAUGUGUUGUUUUAAGCUUACUGAUAAUAGUAAUCGCAUGUAAUAGCAAAUUGAUAUGCUGAAAUGUUAUGUUUAAGCUAUCCGCUAGGACGUUUUUCCUCCUUGGUGGGAUUAUAUCUAGUCAUAGCCACCCUUAGAGUGGAUGAAGACCCUUUUAUAGUAUGGGGUCCUAGUUUUGAUUUUUGAUGUUUUACUUUGCUGCUUUGUUUAAUGUAUACCCAAUCUAGUGGCAUUGUGUAUGCUACCCUGCGAGAGUGUUUUGUUUAAACACCGCAUUUAUAAAAUAAAACAGGGGGAGAUGUAGAGAUGCAUAGCUCCCGAAUCGCCAGUCCACAGGCGCGGCAAACUGCUCCCAUAGCUACGAGGCAGGAGUGACCUUCAAUCCAGCGUUUGUGUUUGGGAAACUUAUUUGGCUGAUUUGAUUGUACCCUCGCAGCUGGUGUUCACGCGCUCAAGAGAUGGGUUCGUUAUCUUAUGUGCAUGUAUACUGCCUGGCUUUUCUAUGCGCAAGAAUGUAACCACUAAGAAGUGUUGUAAACAAAGCAAGGAGAGAAAUAAAAACCCCAGGAAAAGUUUUCCUGGGAGGCUUUUUGCAAGAGGCUUGUAAAACUCUCUGGCUACCAACAAA